CAGUCGCCGCGGUAAUACGAAGGGGGCUAGCGUUGUUCGGAUUUACUGGGCGUAAAGCGCACGUAGGCGGAUUCUUAAGUCAGAGGUGAAAUCCCAAGGCUCAACCUUGGAACUGCCUUUGAUACUGGGGAUCUCGAGUCCGGGAGAGGUGAGUGGAACUGCGAGUGUAGAGGUGAAAUUCGUAGAUAUUCGCAAGAACACCAGUGGCGAAGGCGGCUCACUGGCCCGGUACUGACGCUGAGGUGCGAAAGCGUGGGGAGCAAACAGGAUUAGAUACCCGAGUAGUCCCUGUCUCUUAUAC
rnacentral:rRNA from 1 species